rfam:Schistosoma margrebowiei strain Zambia genome assembly, scaffold: SMRZ_scaffold0001171
AUCCAGCUGACGAGUUCCAGAUGGGACGAAAUGUGCUUUGUCCUGGAU